AUAUUAUGGCUUGGGCAUUUCCUUAGAAGCUCAUUGAACCGUUCCCAUGCCACAUAUAAGUUCUCUUGAUCCAUCUGGAGAAAGAAGUUGAUCUCUUGCUUUAACUU